UACGAAGGGGGCUAGCGUUGUUCGGAAUCACUGGGCGUAAAGCGCACGUAGGCGGACAUUUAAGUCAGGGGUGAAAUCCCGAGGCUCAACCUCGGAACUGCCCUUGAUACUGGGUGUCUUGAGUAUGGUAGAGGUUGGUGGAACUGCGAGUGUAGAGGUGAAAUUCGUAGAUAUUCGCAAGAACACCAGUGGCGAAGACGGCUCACUGGCCCGGUACUGACGCUGAGGUGCGAAAGCGUGGGGAGCAAACAGG
rnacentral:rRNA from 1 species